GGGGUUGUAGCUCAGUGGUAGAGCGCUCGCCUAGCACGUGUGAGGCACUGGCUUUGAUCCUCAGCACCA
rnacentral:tRNA from 1 species